rnacentral:tmRNA from 1 species
CUAUGUAGGUUUGGUCGCCUACAUAGUCACAAUUGACUGUUAGGUCUAUGGAUCAGUUGUAAGACGAGGGUUCGACUCCCUCAUACUCCACGCUCACCUAGAGCUUCAAAGCAAUAUACUAAGGAAAAGAACUAGGGUUUUUGAUCGUGUUCUACCGUGCGCCAAGUUCUUAAAUCUUAGAACGGUAGAUUUGGGGUAUUGUGGUUUUGAUUGCAACAAUGUGAAGUAGAAUAGGUCAAUAAGCAGAUAACUGGCAAUACAAGUUAUGUAAUGGAUUAUACACGCUUGGCAGCGUGAGAUAAACCGAACGGCUAAGCUAAUGUCGUAGAAAGCUGGAAAUAAGUAGCUUUAUAUGGAAUAGAAGCGCUAACACUGAUAAGGUUAGAGG